rnacentral:rRNA from 1 species
GACGUAGGGUGCAAGCGUUGUCCGGAAUCAUUGGGCGUAAAGAGCGUGUAGGCGGUUCGGUAAGUCGGCUGUGAAAGUCCAGGGCUCAACCCUGGGAUGCCGGUCGAUACUGCCGGACUAGAGUUCGGAAGAGGCGAGUGGAAUUCCCGGUGUAGCGGUGAAAUGCGCAGAUAUCGGGAGGAACACCUAUGGCGAAGGCAGCUCGCUGGGACGUUACUGACGCUGAGACGCGAAAGCGUGGGGAGCAAACAGG